ensembl:lncRNA
UUCAUGUAGUAUUGAAUAGAUAUAUUAUAGCUUCGUAAUUUGUGUUUCCUGUUUUGUUCUGUUUUCCUAUCCAUACUUUCCAAAUUUCUUAAUUCAGGUAAUUUUGAUCCUUUUUCCUAUUUUUCUUUGAUGAUCAUAAGUCAUUUACUCCUUCUAAAGGCUACCAUUGUGCUAAGUUUUGUAAAUAUAAAUGAAAAAAAAAGGCCUUGCCAUAAAGAAAAUUCAUUCCAGGCUAGUAACAAAAAACACAGCAAAACAAAACCAAAAAAUCAGAAGUUCAAACACUCAGCCAGGGAAAGAACAAUUUAGCAGUGAGGACAGAUGAGUGUGAGUCACAUAUUCUGCUGCGAAAUGUUUUCCUGAUUUCAGAUCCUUGGUUGGGAUGGAAGAUGCAGAUGAGACUUCAAAGUUUUCCAGUUUAACGGCUGACAGUUUAACGUCUGACCAGCUUCAGUUGCAAGGUUGGUUGUGCAGUAUUUUACGCACUCCACAUGAAUACUCGGUUCUGAGGAGAUGAAAUACCCAUUUUUGUGCUGUCUCACUGAAGAUCCUCUGAUAUGAUAAAAAAGCAAAAACAAGCAAGCAAACAAACAAUCAAACAAAACAAACAGCAUUGCACAGCACCUGUACGACCCUACAAGGUCCUAAUAUGUGGAAUGGAGUUGAGAGGGACUUCAUGGAAGAGUUACUCCCUAAUAAUUUUCCAAACAAGGGUAGAAGGGAACAACCUCUUAGUCUGAAACAACCCUCCUUUACUUCUUAAGCUAAGCUGAAACAUCUCUGACUUUCAUACAAACUCAGAUUGGGAAAAAUGAAAUGGAGUAAUAAUCCUUUAAGUUCAGUUUUGCAGUUUUAGAAAUUUCUUAAAUUACUUGCAAAAAUAAUAGGUAAUAUUUUGAGGUUAUGUGUCAUUAUUUUUUUAAAGAAAUAUAUUUGAAAAUCUUGAAGACAUACAUUCACACACACACACACAAAACACACACACACACAAAAACAAACAAACAAACAAAAACAAACAACAACAAAAAGAACCAAAGCAGUAUUUUUCUUUCUAGACACAGCUUAUACAGAAGCAAAUCUUCUGAGAAAACAAAAGUUUUCCUUAACUGACCUCUGCUGGAGCUGUUUUAUUUUUGUCCUAAAAGACACUCUGAAAAGGACAUUGCAAGUUACAAUUUUUCUCUGUGAUUCUUGUUCAUUUCAUGUCUCUCACCUGGCCAUUCAUUAUUUAUUGCAGCACAAUGUGUACCUAGAUGACCCUGAACAAUAGGUAGAGCUUAAAAAAACAAAGCAGGAUAUCUGCUUAGUGGAUUUUUCAAUCUCAGUACACUGCCUGGGAAAGUUAUGGAAAACAGCAGACAUAUCACCACUCCCACAGAAUCACAGGAUGACAGAAUGACUGAGGAUGGAAGGGACUUCUGGAUCCAACUGGUCCAACUCCUGCUCAACACAGACACCCAGAGCAGGGUCCCCAGGGCCAUGUCCAGGUGGUUUUUGAAGAUCUCCAAGGAGGAGACUUCACAGACUCUCUGGGCAACCUAUGUCAGUGCUUCAUCACCCACAUAGUAGUGAUUCCUGAUAUUCAGCUGGAAACUCUUGUGUACCAGUUUGUGCCUGUUGCAUCUUUUUCUGAUGCUGGGCACCACUGAAAAGAGCUUGGCCGUGUCCUCAUUGUACUCUGCCUCCAGGUAUUUACGUAUGCUGAUAAGACUACCCUUGGACCUUCCCUGGGCUGGAGAGCCUGAGCCUCUCCUUGUAGGAGAGAUGCUCCAGUCUCUUCAUCAUCUAAUUGGCCCUACAUCUGACUCUCUCCAGUAUGUCCAGGUCUCUCUUGUACUGCAGGGCCUGGCACUGGGCACAGUACUCCAGUUGUGGCCUCAUUAAUAUUUAUCAGAGUGGAAUGAUCACCUCGCUUGAUUUUCUGUUGAUAUGUUGCCUAAUGUAACCCAGGACACAAUUAGUCUUCUUUGUGGCAAGGGCACACUGUUGGCUCAUGUUCAAAUUGGUAUCCGUGAGGACACAUAGGUUCUUUUUCUGCAGAGCUGUUUUCCAGCUGAGUAGUCCUACUGUGGCUUAACCUGACAGGCACUGCACAGCCAUUUGCACACUACUAUUCUCAGUGGGAUAAGGGAGAAA